rnacentral:misc_RNA from 1 species
AACUUUUAGCAAUGGAUCACUUGGUUCUCGCAACGAUGAAGAACGCAGCGAAAUGCGAUAAGUAAUGUGAAUUGCAGAUUUUCGUGAAUCAUUAAAUCUUUGAACGCACCUUGCGCCCUCUGGUAUCCCGGGGGCAUAUCUGUUUGAGAAUCAGUUUAACCCUCACAACCCGGAUUGUGUAAACAUGAACGGAAGUGGAUUUGAGACAUCUCUAGCUUGCUAGAGUGACUUUAAACUGAUACCCGCCUUUGGAGUAUUAGUACGCAAGUUUAAAGGCAAUAUUGCUGAGCAGUUAGCUGUUCUUUAUUUUGCUUAGUCGGCUUACAUAUGAAUCUUCAAGACGGUAGGGACAACCAAAUACGAAAGCUUCGUGCUUUUAAGACUUGGUCUCAAAUCAGAUAAGACUACCCGCUGAACUUAAGCAUAUCAAUAAGCGGAGGCU